rnacentral:lncRNA from 1 species
GCCAGAUUAUGAUCAUGUUUAUUUCCAAUUGCCAAACAUUCGGGACAUUGUAAUCUUUAUUAACGAAUUUUGAACAUUAUUUAUUGUCGUGUCUCGCGCUGCUACUCGCUCCUCCCAUCACCCAAUUGGUUUUUUGGUAAAUGUCAACAUUUUAAUUAAUCCUCUGGAACGCUCAAUUUCAGUGCGGUUUUGUCAGUCGGCAUGUUAACAAUCAUCCAAAUGGGGAGGGGUACACGGCUCCCCGAGGCCCCUCUAUUAGCCCCCACUGUAACUGACAUCUGUCAACACUCAUUAGCUCAGUGCGUCAGUCGGUGCUGGCUGGAGUGGAUGCUGUUGGGUACACACACUCGUAUGCGUAUUUUAUUUUUUGGUGAUUGAUGUGACUGUUAUUCAAAUAUAUGACAGACGAAAAACAUGGAAAGAAAGCUUUAAAUUUCAUGUACAGGACAUACAAUUUUGGAUAUUUGAGGUAGAAGGUGGGGCAGAUUCACGUUGAGAGGUUUCCCUACUUUACAUUCAAAUGGCGUGCCAGGGCAGAGUUCACUCCGCUUCUCCCCUCCGCUCCCCUAGUAACCUUUUUUUUUUUUUUUUGCUAAAGAGCCUUUCAACUUUCGAUAUGUAAUCCUUUGAUUGAUAAGCCCAACGUCAAAGCACGGACUCACCCAUGCACACGCCCGCACACACAACACCUACGCCUCCUGCUCGCCCGCCCAUCGGCCUUGGUCCUUGGUCCUAGUAGAAGCAGGAACAGGCAUAGGCGGAGGCGUGGGCGGAGGCGGAGGUGGAACAGUAGUAGCUACCAAAAUCAACGCCUAUGCAAAUUUACGGAAGGACGAAGGUGAGACGAGAGUGAUAGAGAGAUGCGAGUGGAACGGGCGGGACUCUAGAGUAAGAGUAAGAGGCAGAUGAGUGUUAGACAUAUGAUGACAAAGACGAUUUUGGCAUUUUUGCUUUUUGAUUAGCCUGCCACUGGCUUGGGAAUCCUUGCAAGGAUGUUCCAACGGAGCAAAGCUGAUGCCGGCUGCCCCAUUCAGUUACGUUGGGGUAACUGUAGCUGUAACUGUAACUGCAAAGAGUAGCCGUAGCCCUAAACAGUAGCCACAAAGCAAGGCAUUUGAUUAGCCCAAAUGGAAAUCCUACAAAGCUGUCCAGGAUGCAUGCUGCAAUUGCUGCAGUUGUUGCAGCCUUCGUCUUCGGCACAAAGCUGCAAAUAAGCCGGGCACAGACAACGGGCAAAGUGGAGGCACUGCCACUGCCGCACAUGAUGGAGUCUCGACACAAAGUUCGAUCUUCAUUUUGUGUUCGGUCCUGAGUGGGACUAAUAUCAGCAGGGAGGUUAAUUGGCCUGGAACCGACAUUCAACUCCGAGUUAAUUGUGUGGCAUAUCUCCAUUUAUUUUUGCAUUUCCGUAAAAGGAUUUCUUGUUCUCUGGACAUCCGUUCUCGGACUCAUUCUGUCGAUGCAAGAGAUGAAACUUUGCACUGUUCUUGGAGUGGUUCAGGUAAGCUUCAGUCGAUGCAAGACCCUCGAUUAAGUGAAAUAAAAUCCGGCAAGCCACAAAAAGUCAUUCUUAAAGCUUAACCGCUCAGAGAACCGCACUUUGAUAUCUGCAAAAACCACUGGACGUUGUCCAAAAAAGCCACGAAAUACAAAUUGAAAUCAAUUAGCUAAUUAUGGUGCAGAGCGCAACCGCAAUGUGACAGGGGCCAUGAUGAGCGGCGAAGUUAAAGCUGACUUUAAAGCGGUAUCGAUUGGAGUGCGGACAUGGCCCAAAUAUGGCGGUUGACCGGGUUGGCCUGGUGCACUUGAAAUUCAUAAGCCCCCCGCCCAGACCGGGUUGCAGCUCGCUAACGAUUUGCCAGAAAGCCAUUUUAUAAUGCAAAUUCCUUCUCUCAUGGUCCCGCCCCACCCGAAUAACUUUGCCAAUGAGCCGCGGCGCGAAUUUGUGUGUUGCUCCCGCUUGCUGUCGCUCUGUAAUUGAAAUCACGCAGCGCGGGGCAUGUGGCAGGCAGGCGGAAAGGUGUGCCCAGGUGGAUCUAACUUCGCACUCUGGCAAUAAUAUUAUUGAAGGAUUAAAGUUUAAACUUUUAAGUGCAAAAACACUUCAAUUCAAUUGUGUGUCUGUGUGUGUGCAUGGGCGCUGCUGUGCACAGAGCUCAGAGAGAGAGCCUGUAAGGGCGUGUGGUGGAGCGCACUUUAAGCCAAGAGUGGUCUAGAACUUUUUUGUUGCGGCGUUUGUUAGGGCUACCGCAGCCACAAAGUUGCAUUUGUUGCCUGCAGUACCAGUUGCAGUUGCAGCUACCAUGCAAAGCGUGUUUUCUUUGGGUUUUAUCAACUUUAAAUAUAAAGUCGGAACCUAAAUAGUUGAAGUCAACCAGAAGAAAGGGAUACUGUUGAACGCUUCAUGGCAAAUAAUUUGGGAAUUGAUUAACUGGAAAAUCAGCAACUCAACAGACUUCUUCAGUUAGUGGGAUUCUUCUCCAUAAUUAUAAGUAGGUCAUGUAAUUCCACACUUCAAGACAGAGCUCUAGACAUAAUAGGUUACUCUUGUUCAUAUCUGAGAGAACUUAAAGACUUAAUUUUUUCUUCGUUUAAG